rnacentral:rRNA from 1 species
UACGUAGGGUGCAAGCGUUAAUCGGAAUUACUGGGCGUAAAGCGUGCGCAGGCGGUGAUGUAAGACAGAUGUGAAAUCCCCGGGCUCAACCUGGGAACUGCAUUUGUGACUGCAUCGCUGGAGUACGGCAGAGGGGGAUGGAAUUCCGCGUGUAGCAGUGAAAUGCGUAGAUAUGCGGAGGAACACCGAUGGCGAAGGCAAUCCCCUGGGCCAACACUGACGCUCAUGCACGAAAGCGUGGGGAGCAAACAGG